UACGUAGGGUGCGAGCGUUGUCCGGAAUUAUUGGGCGUAAAGGGCUCGUAGGCGGUUUGUCACGUCGGGAGUGAAAACUCGGGGCUCAACCCCGAGCCUGCUUCCGAUACGGGCAGACUAGAGGUAUGCAGGGGAGAAUGGAAUUCCUGGUGUAGCGGUGAAAUGCGCAGAUACUCAGGAGGAACACCGGUGGCGAAGGCGGUUCUCUGGGCAUUACCUGACGCUGAGGAGCGAAAGUGUGGGGAGCGAACAGG
rnacentral:rRNA from 1 species